AUGCUUACCUGGCAGGGGAGAUACGAUGAUCACGAAGGUGGUUUUCCCAGGGCGAGGCUUAUCCAUUGCACUCCGGAUGUGCUGACCUCUGCGAUUUCCCCAAAUGUGGGAAACUCGACUGCAUAAUUUGUGGUAGUGGGGGACUGCGUUCGCGCUUUCCCCUGGUACUUUUGUGAUGUAAAUAGUAGCUGAACGCUUAGUGUUUUUGCAGUUCGAGGUUGUGGAUUUGUGCUUUGUAGCUGUGUUGCGGGUGGCCGGUUGCUUCUGCUUGCAACAGUUAAUUUUCGCUUGUGAAAUCACGUUCGGGAGCAGCUGGCAGCUAUCCACUGGGUCUCUUGGGAAGCGAA
rnacentral:lncRNA from 1 species